rnacentral:lncRNA from 1 species
AUUCACACAGAGAGGUGGCGACAGCAGCAACUGACAACCAGCGGACUUUAGAGGCAGAGAGAAAGCAGGGAUGAGGAAGAACCUGAUACAAAAGGCAGAAAUACUUCUUCUAUAAAAUCUUACGAGAACAGCGCGUACCCUUCUGGAAAUUUGAUACCAACCAAGACAUGACACUGAGAGUGCACAUGUUUUAAAUAAGGAAAAAAUAAGUUUUUGAAAAGAAUCAGAACCGGG